GUGCAGCAGUCGAGAAUCAUCUGCAAUGCGCGCAAGCGUGACGGUGCGACGCCGCGUGCGGGAGGAAGCCCUUCGGGGUGUAAACCGCUUUUCAGAGGUAUGAAGUGCGCCCGCCGAACAAGCGGGUGGCAUUGACGCCAACUCUGGAAUAAGCCACGGCUAACUUCGUGCCAGCAGCCGCGGUAAGACGAAGGUGGCGAGCGUUGCUCGGAAUUACUGGGCUUAAAGCGGGCGCAGGCGGCCCGGUCAGUCGGAUGUGAAAUCCCUCGGCUCAACCGAGGAAUGGCAUCCGAUACUGCCGGGCUUGAGGCAUCCAGGGGCGACUGGAACUCUCGGUGGAGCGGUGAUAUGCGUAGAUAUCGAGAGGAACGCCAAUAGCGAAGGCAGGUCGCUGGGGAUGUCCUGACGCUGAGGCCCGAAAGCCAGGGGAGCGAACGGGAUUAGAUACCCCCGUAGUCC
rnacentral:rRNA from 1 species